GAUGAACGCUGGCGGCGUGCCUAAUACAUGCAAGUCGAGCGAACGGACGAGAAUCUUGCUUCUCUGAUGUUAGCGGCGGACGGGUGAGUAACACGUGGAUAACCUACCUAUAAGACUGGGAUAACUUCGGGAAACCGGAGCUAAUACCGGAUGAUAUUUUGAACCGCAUGGUUCAAAAGUGAAAGACGGUCUUGCUGUCACUGAUAGAUGUAUCCGCGCUGCAUUAGCUAGUUGGUAAGGUAACGGCUUACCAAGGCAACGAUGCAUAGCCGACCUGAGAGGGUGAUCGGCCACACUGGAACUGAGACACGGUCCAGACUCCUACGGGAGGCCGCAGUAGGGAAUCUUCCGCAAUGGGCGAAAGCCUGACGGAGCAACGCCGCGUGAGUGAUGAAGGUCUUCGGAUCGUAAAACUCUGUUAUUAGGGAAGAACAUAUGUGUAAGUAACUGUGCACAUCUUGACGGUACCUAAUCAGAAAGCCACGGCUAACUACGUG
rnacentral:rRNA from 1 species